AUCCAGCUGACCUGUCCUAAAUAGGACGAAACGCGAGUCAAACUGGAU
rnacentral:hammerhead_ribozyme from 1 species